rnacentral:rRNA from 1 species
AUCUUCGGUUAGUGGCGGACGGGUGAGUAACACGUGAGAAUCUGCCUGUUGGUCGGGGAUAACAGUUGGAAACGACUGCUAAUACCGGAUGAGCCGAAAGGUAAAAGAUUUAUUGCCAACAGAAGAGCUCGCGCCUGAUUAGCUAGAUGGUGGGGUAAAAGCCUACCAUGGCGACGAUCAGUAGCUGGUCUGAGAGGAUGAGCAGCCACACUGGGACUGAGACACGGCCCAGACUCCUACGGGAGGCAGCAGUGGGGAAUUUUCCGCAAUGGGCGAAAGCCUGACGGAGCAAUACCGCGUGAGGGAGGAAGGUUCUUGGAUCGUAAACCUCAAAACUUAGGGAAGAAACAAAUGACGGUACCUAAUAUAAGCAUCGGCUAACUCCGUGCCAGCAGCCGCGGUAAUACGGAGGAUGCAAGCGUUAUCCGGAAUCAUUGGGCGUAAAGAGUCUGUAGGUGGCACUUCAAGUCUGCUGUCAAAGACCGAAGCUUAACUUCGGAAAGGCGGUGGAAACUGAAGAGCUAGAGUAAAGCAGGGGUAGAGGGAAUUCCCAGUGUAGCGGUGAAAUGCGUAGAUAUUGGGAAGAACACCGGUGGCGAAAGCGCUCUACUGGACCGUAACUGACACUGAGGGACGAAAGCCAAGGUAGCGAAAGGGAUUAGAUACCCCUGUAGUCUUGGCCGUAAACGAUGGAUACUAGGCGUUGUCUGUAUCGACCCGGACAGUGCCGAAAGCUAACGCGUUAAGUAUCCCGCCUGGGGGAGUACGCACGCAAGUGUGAAACUCAAAGGAAUUGA